rnacentral:rRNA from 1 species
GACGAACGCUGGCGGCGUGCUUAACACAUGCAAGUCGAACGAUGAAGUUCCUUCGGGAAUGGAUUAGUGGCGAACGGGUGAGGAACACGUGAGAAACCUGCCUUUCAUUUUGGGAUAACUCCGGGAAACCGGGGCUAAAACCGAAUACUCCGUCUCGGCGGCAUCGCCGAGCCGGGAAAAAAUUUUGAUGAAAGAUGGUCUCGCGGCCUAUCAGCUAGUUGGUGAGGUAAUGGCUCACCAAGGCAACGACGGGUAGCCGGCCUGAGAGGGCGACCGGCCACACUGGGACUGAGACACGGCCCAGACUCCUACGGGAGGCAGCAGUGGGGAAUAUUGGGCAAUGGGCGCAAGCCUGACCCAGCGACGCCGCGUGAGGGAUGAAGGCCUUCGGGUUGUAAACCUCUUUCAGUAGGGAAGAAGCGAAAGUGACGGUACCUAAAGAAGAAGCACCGACUAACUAUGUGCCAGCCGCCGCGGUAA